rnacentral:rRNA from 1 species
AUUGAACGCUGGCGGCAGGCCUAACACAUGCAAGUCGAACGAGUGGCGGACGGGUGAGUAAUGUCUGGGAAACUGACUGAUGGAGGGGGAUAACUACUGGAAACGGUAGCUAAUACCGCAUACCAUCGGAUGUGCCCAGAUGGGAUUAGCUAGUAGGUGGGGUAAAGGCUCACCUAGGCGACGAUCCCUAGCUGGUCUGAGAGGAUGACCAGCCACACUGGAACUGAGACACGGUCCAGACUCCUACGGGAGGCAGCAGUAGGGAAUAUUGCGCAAUGGGCGCAAGCCUGAUGCAGCCAUGCCGCGUGAGUGAAGAAGGCCUUCGGGUUGUAAAGUACUUUCGGCGGGGAGGCGUUACCCACAGAAGAAGCACCGGCUAACUCCGUGCCAGCAGCCGCGGUAAUAC